AUGUGGACCUGUCUUCGUCAGCGCUAUGAGCCCUCUGGUGAUGCCUUAUACCUUUCUGUGGUGCGUCAGGAGCAUGCUCUUCAGCAGGGUGACUCUACUGUUGAUGACUUUUAUGCACAGAGUUCUGCUAUCUGGCGCCAGCUUGAUUCUCUCCGCAGUGCUGGUUGUCGUACUUGCCCCUGCUGCCAGGCUGUCCAGGCCAACUUGGAGUUUCAUCGCGUCUACGAGUUCCUGUCUCGCGCCGAGUUUGAGCCCCGGCGUGCUCAGUUGUUCGCUCGUGGCCGCAUUUCUCUCAUGGAGGCGCUUUCAGAGAUUCGUGCUGAGGAGACUCGCUUACGUGGUGCUGGUUUGCUGGAGGUUCCCUCUGUGCUUGCUACUCGGGCUUCUUCCACUCCACCUGCUGCACCGCCCCAUUCUCGCUCGAGUGCUCCGCCGCUCUUGCCCACUCCUUCUGGAGGCUCAGGUCGCCCCCGUUCACAUUGUGACUACUGCAACAUUGAUGGUCAUAUUGAGUCCCAGUGCUACACAAAGCGGAAACACCUACGCAAGGCGCGCUCAUCCUCCUCAGGGACUUCGUCA
rnacentral:rRNA from 1 species